rnacentral:lncRNA from 1 species
CUUUACGGAUUCCUCACUUCUCUGGCCACAUUUUCCUACAGCUCUCACUGCUCUGGGAGUUUUCAUUGGCACAAGACAGAGAACAGCUGAGCCUGCAGCUUCUAUUGUCACAACUCUUUGACCAGCAGAACCGGAGAAAACUAUACCUGACAGGACUCCUUCCAAAAGAUUCAGCAUCAAUUUCACCCCAGCAUUUUCCCCAGACUACAGAACCAAGUAUUCCUGCUGCAUCUUUACCGUUACACCUAAAGAUACUGUAUGUCUCUGCAAGUCUUCCGGGAAGCCUGGAGCACAAGCCACUGUUUUCUUCACUGAGGGGCUUGCGUGAGUGGAGAAGAAAGAAGGCUGAUCAUCCCCUGAUCCCUACACUUCCAGAAAAGUGGAUUCCAUCCUGGCAACUAAAAUGAUGGCAGAAUCCAGACUCUUCAGAACCAGGAGCAGCAAGGCCUCAAGAAGACCCAGAUAUUAGUGCCAUCUUCCUCACUAUCUAUUCAGCCCUGCGAAAAAUGCACUUCACUUAUUUGACCCUUGGCUUCCUCAACUGCCUCACGAAGGUUGAAUUACAGUUUCUACUGGCUUUUAGGAAUUAAGAGCAGGUGAGUGUAGGAAUUGCAACCUCAGUGCCUUGCAGAGUACCCCUGAACAUGAGACAUGCUUACAAAGUAAUGUUUCCUGGUGUAUUCUUCAUCUCCUGUCUCCUCGGCUCGGUCUGCCUAUACGCCCUCUUCCAUAGGUGUCUUUGAGUCAGUGUGGUAUUGUGGCACCACAGCUUGGG